rnacentral:lncRNA from 1 species
UAGCCCUUGAAGUUAGCCUUCUAAAUCCACUUGAAUCAGCCCAAUCGGAGGUCGUAUGAGAUAGUUACGCUUCAAAUACCAAACACUGCCACAAUCCGCGAAAAUGCACUUUUGCACGUGUUUGGUUUGGUUCUCGGCUUCGCUUCCAAAAUCGUUUCGAAUCGGCAAAAGUAGCUUCUCUUUACCUAAAAUAGAAAUAAAACAAAAACAACAUAAUAUAUACAAAUAAAGCCGAAAACUCGAACGAACGAAGACCAAAACUCGAAGAUUCGAUAAGUAAAAGUUGUGCAAAAUGAACACUUAUCACACCCUCAAACUUAGAUCUUUACUCGUCCCGAGUAAAU